UACGUAGGGGGCAAGCGUUGUCCGGAUUUAUUGGGCGUAAAGAGCGUGUAGGCGGCCGCACAGGUCCGUUGUGAAAACUGGAGGCUCAACCUUCAGACGUCGAUGGAAACCGUGCGGCUAGAGUCCGGAAGAGGAGAGUGGAAUUCCUGGUGUAGCGGUGAAAUGCGCAGAUAUCAGGAAGAACACCCGUGGCGAAGGCGGCUCUCUGGGACGGUACUGACGCUGAGACGCGAAAGCGUGGGGGGCGAACAGG
rnacentral:rRNA from 1 species